rnacentral:rRNA from 1 species
UGAGGAAUAUUGGUCAAUGGGCGCAAGCCUGAACCAGCCAUCCCGCGUGCAGGAAGACGGCCCUAUGGGUUGUAAACUCCUUUUUCUGGGGGAGAAUUUUUCUGUCGUGACAGGAAUUGACGGUACCCUGGGAAUAAGCAUCGGCUAACCCCGUGCCAGCAGCCGCGGCAAUACGAAGGAUGCGAGCGUUAUCUGGUCCUAUUGGGUUUAAAGGGUGCGUAGGCGGAUUGAUAAGUCAGUGGUGAAGACCUGCAGCUUAACUGUAGACGUGCCGUUGAUACUGUCAGUCUUGAGUGUGGUCGAGGUAGGAGGAGUGUGUAAUGUAGCGGUGAAAUGCUUAGAUAUUACACGGAACACCGAUUGCGAAG